rnacentral:rRNA from 1 species
AUGGCGGCGACUCCAGCACUCUCGAUCUUCCUGCUCUUGGUGGAAGCGUCAUCGGCUGCAGGUAGCAGCUGGUGCGUGUGCAAACCAGAGCUGCCGGCGGCGGCGCUGCAGAGGACGCUGGACUACGCGUGUGGCCACGGCGCCGACUGCGCCCCGCUGCUCCCCGGCAGGCAGUGCCACACCGACACGGACACGGUGGCGCUGGACUACGCGUGCGGCCACGGCGCCGACUGCGCCCCGCUACUCCCCGGCAGGCAGUGCCACACCGACACGGACACGGUGGCGACGCGCUGCUCCUAUGCCACCAACAGGCAACAGCUACUACCACAACGCCAUGGCCAAGGCCAGCGGCGCCCUCACCUCCACAGACCCAAGCUCCGGAAGCUGCCAAUACCCUGCGUCGGCUAG